rnacentral:rRNA from 1 species
GACGAACGCUGGCGGCGUGCUUAACACAUGCAAGUCGAACGGAAAGGCCCCUUUGGGGGUACUCGAGUGGCGAACGGGUGAGUAACACGUGAGUAACCUGCCCUUGACUUCGGGAUAACUUCAGGAAACUGGGGCUAAUACCGGAUAGGAAUCCUUGCUGCAUGGUGGGGGUUGGAAAGCUUCGGCGGUUUUGGAUGGACUCGCGGCUUAUCAGCUUGUUGGUGGGGUAGUGGCUUACCAAGGCUUUGACGGGUAGCCGGCCUGAGAGGGCGACCGGCCACAUUGGGACUGAGAUACGGCCCAGACGCCUACGGGAGGCAGCAGUGGGGAAUAUUGCACAAUGGGCGGAAGCCUGAUGCAGCAACGCCGCGGGCGGGAUGACGGCCUUCGGGUUGGAAACCGCUUUCAGCAGGGGCGAAGCUUGUGGUGACGGUACCUGCAGAAGAAGCACCGGCUAACUACGUG